rnacentral:rRNA from 1 species
CAGCGUCACGAGUGGGAACUACAAUUAUUGGGCCUAAAGCGUCCGUAGCCUGUUUAGUAAAUUUCUUGUGAAAUUGUUGAGCUUAACUUAACAACGUGCAGGAAAGACUGCUAAACUUGGGACUGGGAGGGGUUAGAAGUAUUUUUGGGGUAGCGGUAAAAUGUUACAAUCCCAAAGAGACUACCUAUGGCGAAAGCAUCUAACCAGAACAGGUCCGACGGUGAGGGACGAAAGCUAGGGGAGCAAAACGGAUUAGAUACCCGAGUAGUCC